rnacentral:rRNA from 1 species
GUUGAACGCUGGCGGCAUGCUUUACACAUGCAUGUCGAACGGUAACAGCACUUCGGUGGCUGACGAGUGGCGAACGGGUGAGUAAUACAUCGGAACGUGCCUAGUAGUGGGGGAUAACUACUCGAAAGAGUAGCUAAUACCGCAUGAGAUCUAAGGAUGAAAGCAGGGGACCUUCGGGCCUUGCGCUACUAGAGCGGCUGAUGGCAGAUUAGGUAGUUGGUGGGAUAAAAGCUUACCAAGCCGACGAUCUGUAGCUGGUCUGAGAGGACGACCAGCCACACUGGGACUGAGACACGGCCCAGACUCCUACGGGAGGCAGCAGUGGGGAAUUUUGGACAAUGGGCGCAAGCCUGAUCCAGCAAUGCCGCGUGCAGGAUGAAGGCCUUCGGGUUGUAAACUGCUUUUGUACGGAACGAAAAGCCCUCUUCUAAUACAGGAGGGUCAUGACGGUACCGUAAGAAUAAGCACCGGCUAACUACGUG